ACGGGAGGCAGCAGUGGGGAAUAUUGCACAAUGGGGGAAACCCUGAUGCAGCGACGCCGCGUGAGUGAAGAAGUAUUUCGGUAUGUAAAGCUCUAUCAGCAGGGAAGAUAAUGACGGUACCUGACUAAGAAGCCCCGGCUAACUACGUGCCAGCAGCCGCGGUAAUACGUAGGGGGCAAGCGUUAUCCGGAUUUACUGGGUGUAAAGGGAGCGUAGACGGUUUGGCAAGUCUGAAGUGAAAGCCCGGGGCGCAACCCCGGUAUUGCUUUGGAAACUGUUGAACUAGAGUGCCGGAGGGGUAAGCGGAAUUCCUAGUGUAGCGGUGAAAUGCGUAGAUAUUAGGAGGAACACCAGUGGCGAAGGCGGCUUACUGGACGGUAACUGACGUUGAGGCUCGAAAGCGUGGGGAGCAAACAGGAUUAGAUACCCUGGUA
rnacentral:rRNA from 1 species